AUACGUAGGGUGCGAGCGUUAAUCGGAAUUACUGGGCGUAAAGCGUGCGCAGGUGGUUUUGUAAGUCAGAUGUGAAAUCCCCGGGCUUAACCUGGGAACUGCGUUUGAAACUGCAAGGCUAGAGUGUGGCAGAGGGGGGUGGAAUUCCGCGUGUAGCAGUGAAAUGCGUAGAGAUGCGGAGGAACACCGAUGGCGAAGGCAGCCCCCUGGGUCAGCACUGACGCUCAGGCACGAAAGCAUGGGGAGCAAACAGGAUUAGAAACCCCGGUAGUCC
rnacentral:rRNA from 1 species